GAUGAACGCUAGCGGCAGGCUUAAUACAUGCAAGUCGAGGGGCAGCAUGAUUGUAGCAGUACAAUUGAUGGCGACCGGCAAACGGGCGCGGAACACGUACACAACCUUCCAACAAGUGGGGGAUAGCCCAGAGAAAUUUGGAUUAAUACCCCGUAACAUAGCGAUGUGGCAUCACAUUGCUAUUAUAGAUUUUUCGCUUGUUGAUGGGUGUGCGGCUGAUUAGAUAGUUGGCGGGGUAACGGCCCACCAAGUCUACGAUCAGUAGCUGAUGUGAGAGCAUGAUCAGCCACACGGGCACUGAGACACGGGCCCGACUCCUACGGGAGGCAGCAGUAAGGAAUAUUGGACAAUGGACGCAAGUCUGAUCCAGCCAUGCCGCGUGAAGGAUUAAGGUCCUCUGGAUUGUAAACUUCUUUUAUAAGGGACGAAAAAAGGCUUUUCUAAGUCGUCUGACGGUACCUUAUGAAUAAGCACCGGCUAACUCCGUGCCAGCAGCCGCCGUAAGAC
rnacentral:rRNA from 1 species